rnacentral:lncRNA from 1 species
UAAGCUGUAAGAGAAACAAACGCCUUUGGGCAUUUUUAACAUUAACUCAGCAGAGGAAGAAAUGUCACAUGGUCCUAUACCGCACUGUCCUCAAAGGGAAUGUAUGCCUGGCCCCAAACAUAGCUUCCUCCUUAGCAGGACACAAACAAAGCAGCUAAAGAUGGAGGUUAAGGCUUCCAGAUGUCCAUGAGCAGGAGACGAGGACAGCAGCAAACUCCAGCUUAACAUAAGAUGGAGAGGCUGUUGGGAUUUCUAAGGGACCAGAGAUCUUUUGGCUGCAACUCAGAGGAGGGUUUGAGAACUGGAAGUCAGAAAUCAGGAGUUCGAGACCAGCCUGGUGAAGCCCCGUCUUUACCAAAAAAAAAGAAAGAAAGAAAAUACCAAAAAUGAGCCAAUGUCUACAGGGCUUCGCUCCCUCUGGAGACUUCAGGGGAGGACGCUUUCUUGUCUCUUCCAGCUCCUGGUAGCUUCCAUGUUCCCUGGCUUGUGACUACAGAGUUCCAGCCUCUGCCUCCGUCUUUGUCGGGCCUUCUCCUCUUCUCCCACGAAGGCGGAGAAGUGUGUCCUCUCCUCUUCAGUCUCUUACAGGGACACCUGUCAUUGGAUUUAGGAUCUGCCUGGAUAUUCCAGGAUGGUCUCAUCUUGAGAUCCUUAACUUUAAAGCACCUGCAAAGACUAUUUAACAAAGAAGUUACAAUUGCAAGUUCUGGGACAUGCUCAUAUCAUUUUGGAGGCCACUAUUUAACCCCCUACAAUUCUCUUUACAUAAUUUCCCAAAACUGUUUCCCAAAAAGUUGCCAGCAGUAAGCAAAUUCCAGAAGUGAAAGCAUGACCCUGGCCCAUGGUGGCAAACCCGCUUUCUACCAAGUUGAUCACCUAACUGUUGAUUCUAGCCUUUCUAAUCUUUAGCCUGUGGUAGCAAGCCAGGUACAAUUUGCCAUUAAGAUACAAAAAUGGCCAAAGUCUCUCAUUGCAUGCAAUGCUACCCUGAUGCAGUGGAAACUACACUAAACAAGCUCCCUGGGAUCCUUGGGCCCUCUCCCGUCUCCAUCACUAAUUGGCUGGGAGACUUUGGAAAAUUUUCUCUGCCUCUCUGAACUUCAGUCUCCCUAUCUAUAAAAUGAAAACUAGAUUAGAACAGGGGUUGAUAUGCUAUAGCCUGCUUUUUUUUUUUUUUUUUUUUUUGAGAUGGAGUCUCUCUCUGUCACCCAGGCUAGAGUGCAAAUGGUGCAAUCUUGGCUCACUGCAACCUCCACCUCCCAGGUUCAAGCGAUUCUCCUGCCUCAGCCUCCUGAGUAGCUGGGAUUGCAGGUGCCUGCCACCACACCCAGCUAAUUUUUGUAUUUUUAGUAGAGAUGGGUUUUCACCAUGUUGGCCAGGCUGGUCUUGAACUCCUGAUCUCAGGUGAUCCACCUGCCUCGGCCUCCCAAAGUGCUGGGAUUACAGGCGUGAGCCACUGUGCCUGGCUAGCCUGCUUUUUUAAAUAAAGUUUUAUAGGAACCCAGCCUUGUCCAUUUAUUUACAGAUCAUGUAUGGGGGCUGUCAUGCUGCAAGAGCAAAGUGGUUGCAACAGAGACAGAAUGACUCAGAAAAUGGAAAAUAUUUGCUGGCUAGCCCUUUACAGAAAAAGCUUGCCACCCCCUAAACAAGUACAGAGCUCUGUAAAGGGUCCUUCUAGCUGAGUUAUUUUGUGAUACUAUGGACCAGUUCCUCCUUUGAGCCCUGCCUAAAAUCUGAUGGUGGCCUGAGGAGUUGGCUAUGGAGAGGGAGCAGGACUGAAAAAAAGGCUCCAUGAGCCUCACAGUACCAGCAUUGUCCCUCCCUGGACAUCCUUGUGUACACUGUGCUUCCGCAUUGCCUGCGCUCCCAGAAUUUAGCUCCCCCAGAUCUUCCACCCUGUUCUCCCCUUGGGGCUUGCCCCCUGCAACGGGCAGGAAAUGCAAACAGCUAGGGGACUUGUGGGUCCCUUUAAGGCCUUGAGACCUGGGGAAAUCCCCCGGUUCUCAGCCACCUAAGGACACUCAUCCUCCCAGUCUAACGGCCGAGUCAUUCUCACUUUGCUGCUAUCACUGUCCAGAUUCCAGCAAAAUACACCCUUCCACAGUCAAACCUCUACCUCCUUCAUUCUCCUCUCUUAUUUGUUAAACAAAUCCUGAUCUGCCUUUUUAGGCUGCUCUUGAAUUUUAUGGCAACAUAUAAUAAACAUCUGACUGCUUUUAUUUCUAUUUCACUUUUAUCUUGAAUGUCUCUGCUGUUUCAAACCAAAUAUUUAUAGCAUCACACAGCCGCUGCAAUUUCAUUCCUCACCAAUACUGUCACUCCCUCCUGCUUGCACUCACCAGCCCUGUAGAGAGGCCGGGAAUGUUGGGGCGAAUGGUCUGUUUUGCCCCCACAGCAGGGCUUCCAGCCUGGAUCUCUGAGUCACUGGACUCCCGGGAGAGCAGAUGGCUUUCCUGGCAGCCUGGCCCUCAGCUCCGAGUCAGGCCAUCUCUGGUGACUGAAGGGCUUUCUGUACUUGAUGUCUUCACACAUCGGUACUAGACUGGGUCUGGCUGUGAGAAAGACCCUUGCAUAUUCCAUUAAGGAGCAAACCUGGGGAAUUCGAGCACCUCUGUCUUCUCAGAGGCCUCUCUUUUUCUCAGUACCCUCAGGUUUGGCCCAAGGCCUUGGAGUGCGGCUCCUUGGUCCACUGUGCUUGUCCCUGCUUUUCUGACUCACCAAAAAGUGCUCCUGACAGCCCUAACCACCUACUCUUCACCAGGGCUCUCUGGUCCCGUGUGGUCCAAAAGGCCCACUGCAGACGCUCUUUUGAGUCCAGGGCCCUAAAGAAAGCAGUCAUACCUGGUGGGGGAUGACACUCUGGACCUGGAGUCUGAAGACCUCGCUGUCCUUCUCUGAGCUUCAGUUUUCUCAUCUAUGAAACGGGGAUUAUAACACCCACUUGAUGUGACUCUCAGGGCUGCCCUGAGGAUACUGAAAAAUGAUGAACGACGGCGUGCUUUGUACACAGUGGGUCAUCCAAGGGGAGCCAGAGAGUGCCUCUUUCCGGCAUGCCUGGGCCUCCGGAGCUGGAGAAGCCUCCUUUGGUCUCCUAGUCUGCCUUUUCUCCUCCCAUGUGUCUCAACCUGCACAAAUCCUGCCGGGCUCUGCACAUUGCUCUGUGUUGAUGGAUCCACCAUAUUAGCCUCGCCUGGCCCUCUCCUUCCUCCUUAGAAGACUCAUGACUCCAGCUGAGCUUAUAGGUGAACUCUUUCACAGCAGAAACUGCUUCGCCUUUCCUUUCCCAUGGGCCUUGUACCUGGUCAAGCCUGCAUAUUUCAGCUCUCUGGUCAUCCAGAGGGAAGUCUCACAUGAGUCUUGGUGAGAAUCUUCAACUUGGCUGUGCAAGUUUUCUGAUACUUUAAAUCCAGUUCAAGAUAAGAUACAUAUAGCAGUGGCACACCCUGAACCUCAGAUUCUCAGAGGGGUUGAUCCCUCUGAAACAUCUCGCAACCAAAACUCCAUCUCGGCAUCUGCUUCCUUCUGAAGAACUCAACCUGGGACACAGUAAGAGGACAGAUCACCUGCCUAUGAGGACCCCUGUGAUUCAGUCUGCCUUUCCCUGGCCACGACCCCAUCCUUGCCCCUGUCUGAUGUCCAAGCUGCCCCUGUUCAGACAGACCUGGCCUCUUCUGGACAGCUCCAGUCACAUAAGGACUCCAUAGCUUGUGUGGGCUCAGAGCACUUUGGCUGCAGAGAGGAAAGUCUUUACCACUGGGCAGGACUCACUACUUCGUGAUGAAGAUGGUGACACGCCCACCUGGAGAGAUGCACACGGUUUCCUUGGAGGAAGCCCACGGCCUGGAGUGAAUCACUCAAGCAGAGUGUUCGCUGGGUGACUGGUGUCCCAUGAGGGCACCAGGCGGAUCACAAUGAAUAUAAAAGAUGCUCCUUGAGGGCCCUCCUAGCUCUUGCCGCAUGGAACCCUGAGAAGGGCUGGGCACCCUGGGCUGGAAGGAAGAUGCUGCCAGGGCGUGCACUUGUAGAAGAGGAGAGGCGCCACCAGGCAAUUUCUGGGAUUGCAUGGUUUGCUGAGAGAACUGGGGCCGGGGACCUCGGGAGCCAUCAUGCUUGUGUGGCCCUAGACAUUCUCAAUCACUCCCACCCUUGCCCUAAAACUUAUUCGGGAUGUCCUUUUCUCUCUACAUGAGGACCCUGCCCUGGGGAAGAAGCUGUAGGGGGCUGGUGUGGCCGGGCUGUUUCUGCCUGUCUGCAUCUUACAUUUUACUUCUGGCAGGCACUUUUCCCAGGGACUGGAACUUCAGCCUCACUCCCUAAACUCUCGAUUCUCCCAGAAUCCCCAGCAACCAACCAAGGGGAGCUCCAGGGCCUGAGGGUCAAUGAGGCACAAAUGGUAGGUGGAUGGCAGGAUUCCUGGGUGUCCCAACCCACACAGCACCCAUGUGGCCCUUGGUUCUCAGCACCCGCAUACCCUGGCCAGCGUGGGGCCAGUGUGGGACCAGCGUGGGGCCAGUGAGAGCACAGCAGCAGGCCCAGUGCUUACUCCAACCUCAGGACAGGGCCUGGGGAGUGGCAGAUUGGACUCCUCCAGUAGGCACAGCACCUAGAACCCAUGGUGCUUUCAGGGCAUUGAAUAAAAAAAAUGUUUUCAUCCAAUUAAAACGGGAAGAGGCCAGGCCCAGUGGCCUGUAAUCUCAGCAUUCUGAGAGGCCAAGGCAGGAGGAUUGCUUAAGGCCAGGAGCUCAAGAUCAGCCUGGGCAAUAUAGGGAGACCUCAUCUUUACCGAUAAAUAAAUAAAUAAAAUAGGAAGAAAAACAUAAAUUUUUAGAAUCAAAGAUCUGGUUUGUCAUUACAUCCAUGUGGUUGUAAAGUACAAGUUUGAGUUUUUGUUCUUCGGAGGAGGAAGAGGCUCACAAAGACCAAAGUGCUUAGGGCCUUGUAAAAGGGGGCACAUGGCCAGGGCUCAGUGGUUGGGGUAGGGGUCUCUGGAGCCUGGAGGUAGCCUCAGAGCUAAGGGACAGGUGCCCCAUGAAACACCCCAAG